GUAGGUGGCAAGCGUUGUCCGGAAUUAUUGGGCGUAAAGCGCGCGCAGGCGGUCCUUUAAGUCUGAUGUGAAAGCCCACGGCUCAACCGUGGAGGGUCAUUGGAAACUGGGGGACUUGAGUACAGAAGAGGAAAGCGGAAUUCCAAGUGUAGCGGUGAAAUGCGUAGAGAUUUGGAGGAACACCAGUGGCGAAGGCGGCUUUCUGGUCUGUAACUGACGCUGAGGCGCGAACGCGUGGGGAGCAAACAGGGAUUAGAUACCCUGGUAGUCCACGCCGUAAACGAUGAGUGCUAAGUGUUAGGGGGUUUCCCGCCCCUUAGUGCUGCAGCUAACGCAUUAAGCACUCCGCCUGGGGAGUACGGCCGCAAGGCUG
rnacentral:rRNA from 1 species